rnacentral:lncRNA from 1 species
GGAUACAGACAUUGGAAUAUUACUACAAAUGCUUUAUAUCUCAUUAAAACAUAUAGAAUUUUUCUCUAGUAUUUGUAAAAACAUGGAAAUUGCAUACUUCAAGAAAUGCAAGAGACAUUUACAAAGGUACAUACAUUCUAGUCUUCUAUCUCUUUUCUUGAUUCUCCAUUAAGUGUUAUGCUUCAACCUGGCCAUCUUAUUCAUCCUCUGAAUCACUGAGAAGAAACAAAAGGAAUACAACUUAGAAGUUAUAGUCACCAGGCAUGCAAUUUUGAAAAGAAAAAAAAUGCUACAGACCAUACUUAAUGGCCCAAUGAGAUCCAUGCUUCAUAGAUUGUCCUAAGAUAGAUAUUUUCUUCCUUACAAUUAUCCCCUCCCUCUACAUGUAGUUUUAAUCCAGAAACCAUG